rnacentral:rRNA from 1 species
UACGAAGGGGGCUAGCGUUGCUCGGAAUUACUGGGCGUAAAGGGCGCGUAGGCGGCACUGUUAGUCAGGCGUGAAAGUCCUGGGCUCAACCUGGGAACUGCGCUUGAUACGGCAGAGCUAGAGGAUGGAAGAGGCUCGCGGAAUUCCCAGUGUAGAGGUGAAAAUUCGUAGAUAUUGGGAAGAACACCGGUGGCGAAGGCGGCGAGCUGGUCCAUUACUGACGCUGAGGCGCGACAGCGUGGGGAGCAACAGG